CUCUAAUAGCUCAGUUGGUAGAGCAGUUGACUCUUAAUCAUCAGGUCGGGGUUUCGAACCCCUCAGAACCCA
rnacentral:tRNA from 1 species